rnacentral:lncRNA from 1 species
GUUCUUCAUCUCCUCCCUCAUCUCUCUCAAGAGAAACCCUAACGCGGCCAAAAUUCCCUUCCCCUCCGGUGGCGGCGCCGAUCCCAAACCAUCCCAAAAUCACACCCCUGAACCCUCUCGUACCUCUCUCUCCAAAUCUAAACACAGUGUCCCUCGAAUCCGUCUCAAUCUCGUCAAAUAUUGAAUCAAAGUAUAAGACCUAAAAUUUCAAAUCCUAAUAUCGGCAGAUUUGGUAAUAAUUAAGGCUGAAAUGGACCUUGGUCAUGUGUUUUUAUCUGAGAACACAUGAUUAAGACCCCUUUCGGUCAAAAUCGAAGAAGGACUUCAAGGUUUGGUCAGCCCGGUUUAGGUAUUUUUACGUGUUUUUUGUUGUUUCUUUUUAAGUCGUCCAUCUUCAUCUCUUUUCUAUGUCUUUGUAUCUUUUUCUUCACUGUGUGCUCGUUGUCGAUGUUGUCCAAUGAGUUGUUUGAUAAUCAGCAUAGUUUAUUUUGUUGUUGUUUAACAUGAAUUAAUUUAUUUUCCGUUCUUUUGGGUUUUUGGGCUUUGGAUUAAGGUUUCCAGGUGUUUUUUUUUGUGGGUAAUUUUAGGUCAGUCCUUGGAAUGGUGAAUCCAUGAUUGAUAAUAAUUGGGCUCGAAAGAAUCAAAAGCCCAGGUAGGGAUUUAAUUUGGAUUUUCAGACCCAUUAAACUGGGUCAUUUUGAUACGGGUUCUGCCUGGCCUCAAGGGGUAAUAACAUGGGCUUAAAGGGGUGCUUUAGGAAUUUUGGUUUAGGAAAUCUUUGAAAACUGAUUGAGGAAGCUUAUAGGAAGCUGGGGUGGGGAUUAAUUUGGAAAUCUAAUUUUUAGACUGAGGUCUUCUGAGAAAAAAUGAAAAUGUAAAAAGAGUCUAAUUGCAAAAUCUAACUUCUUGAAGCUGCCUUAAUGCCUUGCCUAUAAAUGUACCUUUACUUGACAUUCAAUGGUGAUUUUAAGAAAAUCAGACUGCUGAAAGGUUUUAGGUGAUAUUCUUUACAUCUAAAGCACUGAAAAACACAUAGAUAUAGAACUUCAGAAUCAGAAAACACCAAAAAAGGGAAAACUCUAGAUUGUUUCAUUGGUUAGCUGUUUUCAUCUUUCUGGUUUUAAGUCUUGAACAUUUGCUAGAAUUCUGGGAUUUGAGUAUGGAUUAAAGGAGGCUGCAUUUGUUGGUUGCUUACUGCUUUGCCCUCUAUUGUUGGGAUAUUUUCUUUUCAAGAUUUUGAAGCAGAUUUCAGGCAUUAAGGUAUACAUCGUGACCUUAUGCCAAAACCUUUAUAGUCAUGACUUUACAUAAAUGUUAAAGAUAUUGUGUGAAUAAUGGAAUAUAUAUAUCCAUGCUAAUUCUUGUCUCAUAUGCUGGAAACAUGCUUCUUUGUGCUUCAAAGACAUUAGUUGAUAUCUAUUGGGCUUGGUUUCUAUGUGUACUGUUUUUCUUCUUCACGUUUAAUAUUUUCUUCAUGUUUUGAGUUAGUUUGUUUGCCAGUGGUUAGCCUGUUGCAACAAGAUUCUUGAUGAACCCGAUCUUGAUAUGAUCAGAUUCAUGAGAGUUGAAAGCUAAAUUGAUAUCACUCUUGUAUGGGGAAGAGCUUGCAACAUUAUGGAGGAUCACAAUUUGAUGUAUAUUUGGUUCUCUUAGUAGUUUAGAUUUAUUAUGUUUGUUCUUUCAUAAGCUAAGGUUGGUUAAUCUUCAUUUCCUAGCUGAUUACUUGUCAAGUUACUCAAAUGUUGUUAAAUAGUGUUAAGUUUACAUGGAGUUAAUGUAGUGAAUGAGUGAGUCAUGAGGAUCAAGGGUGAAUGCCUCAGUCAGUUUCAUUUUGAAGUUCAAACCUGCGGAAAACAAGCUGCAUAAUCAGUUAUAUGAUGUGGGGUUUUCUAAUUUUGGAUUCAUGUUGUUUUGUCAUGAUUGGUGGCUUAAUGUCAUAGAUUCUGAGUUUUGAUGUGUGCAUAAGUCAAAGUGUUAGUGAAUAUCUGCCUUCAUAUAGCAGAGACCUAGGUUUGUUUCAUUAUUUUUCCUUCGAUCUAGCUUAAAUUAUUUUCAGGUUUAGUUUGGCCCUUAGAUUCUGAGCUUUGUAUCACAAUAUUUUGGCACAGUUUUUAGAAUUCGAGUGGGGAAUUUAUGUUUCUUGAAGAACUAGGAUUUAAACAAUGAAUUGAUGGUUUGACAAGUUAGAAAUCUAGCUAAGCUAUGUAAUGUUUUUCAUUAUUGUCGGCGAGGUCAUAAUUGGUAUUCGAACUUCACAUAAUAUGUUUAUAAUUUAGCGUAUUUGAAAUUGAGACAUGAAUUCUUAUAUCUUAUUCUGUGUUCAGUUUUCUUCUUUUAGAAAAAUAACGAUCAUUUGGAUGUGCUGCACUUUUGGUUUCUAUGUAUACCAGCUUGUCAUAUGAUGAUAAGGCCUUUUAGGCCCAACUAAAUUUUGAGCCCAAAGCAUCAUGUAAUUAUUGUUACUGAUGUUAUUUAACUGGGGUGGUCCAAUUCUUGAAAUCCCAACGCCCCUUUCCCUUUCUCUAGUAGUCGCGUGCCUCAGCCUUAAAUCACGUUAAUUUAAUUAUUUGUUGUAAUUAAUUUGAGGUGUGCUACACUAGCCAGACUCACGAGUUAUGGCCCUCAACAACUAAUUUAGAAACUCUU